rnacentral:rRNA from 1 species
GACGAACGCUGGCGGCGUGCUUAACACAUGCAAGUCGAACGAUGAAGCCGGAGCUUGCUCUGGUGAAUUAGUGGCGAACGGGUGAGUAACACGUGAGUAACCUGCCCUUGACUCUGGGAUAACUGCGGGAAACUGUAGCUAAUACCGGAUACGACCCUCGGAGGCAUCUCCUGGGGGUGGAAAGAAUUUCGGUCAAGGAUGGACUCGCGGCCUAUCAGCUAGUUGGUGAGGUAAAGGCUCACCAAGGCGACGACGGGUAGCCGGCCUGAGAGGGGGACCGGCCACACUGGGACUGGGACACGGCCCAGACUCCUACGGGAGGCAGCAGUGGGGAAUAUUGCACAAUGGGCGCAAGCCUGAUGCAGCGACGCCGCGUGAGGGAUGACGGCCUUCGGGUUGUAAACCUCUUUCAGCACCGACGAAGCGCAAGUGACGGUAGGUGCAGAAGAAGGACCGGCCAACUACGUGCCAGCCGCCGCCGUAA